AGCGGGUCCUGGCCAUUCCCAGACGGGUCGAGGCUGAUGAGGACUCCCAGGCGCUGGGGGCGGCACAGAGGGGCCGUGGCCCCUAUGGAAAUCAGAGAAGUCUAGGACCCCAAAGCGUGGCCAGGCCCAUCGUGAGGAUAGGCGUUGUUCCGCGGAAGGUGCAAGCCAUCAGCGGCUCCAGAAUUUCUAAACCGGAAGGACUUGCGGGUGUGGAGCACAUGGAGAUGCUGAAAUCCUGUUCCAUUUGCCAGCGGUCUCCUGACCGCCACCCCGUUAUUCAUUUCUCAUCUGCCUCUGCCACUUACCUAGGAGCUUCCCAGCAGACGUCUAUCUGGAUUGCCUGGAUCCUGAGCCCAACAGACAGCUGGGCAUGAGGUGAGCUGCUUCUCCUUGGCAGACUCCUUGCGAGCUGAAAAAAGAAGCAGAUGUCAGAGACAUGCCAAAGCAGUGCACCAAAUUGAGCCUCCCCGCUGCUUCCCAGCACACCUUCAGCCUUCUCUUUAAGGUGCUGGUGCUGAUCCAGGAGGCUGACGUUGGACUGUGGGCCCAGAGGGAUGUCGUCCUCAUCUCCCCGGGGCUCGCUGCCGCUGUCCUGCAGCUCCUCCUCCGCAGCUCCUUUGCGCCUUCGUUGCAAUAGCUUCUGGAGCUGAGGUUCCACCAGCGCCCCUCAGAGCCAAGCCCAAGACAAAGUGGAGUAUCGGGCCCAGGGGGCUUGCGUCAGGAUCUUGGCUUUUGGGAGAGGGUCCUGGGCCACGCGACAUGGAGGUGCCCUACCCCUCAGAUCAGACUGGCAGUCCCUCGUUUGCCUGGGGGCCACGGUCCCAACUACUGACAGCUCACUCCACUGGAUGCCACCCUCCCUCCCACACCCUCAUUUCUCUUCCGACCCGAGGCUCUCACCAACAGUUGCCGCCGCUGUCGCAAAGGCACGUAAGGCACGUAGUCUUCGUCGUCCUCAUCCUCCGCCUCGGAGCGGCUUCCUGUGGCAGUCGCUUCAUCUGUGCGAACCCGCUACAGAUACACAUGAAUCAGGCCCAGGCCCCCGCUUUCACAGCUGCUCGCCACCCGCACCGACCCCUACCUCGCUCCCACCUUCCGUUCAGGUUCCGAGUCCUCCAUCCUUUGCUGUACGCAGGCGCGCUACGGUAAAACCCCGCCUCAAUUUUUGCGUGAGAUCCAAUCAGAUGUGAAGAAGCGGAAGGUCGGCACCUAGUAACGACCUCUGAGUGCCGGAUCGCGCAGAGGGACAAACUUUCCCGAGACCCUGUCAGGCAGUGCAGCGUCAAAGUACCCUUGGGCGGCUGCGCAUUUGUUGCCAGGGGCGAGGGCGAAGCGUCAUACAAUGCAUUAUGGGACGCUGGAGGACUUGGAGCAUGCGCUAAACGCUCAAACGAAGACUGGUGGAAGGUCCCACGAGUGGAGAUACAGAAGAGACCCGCCUAGCGGAGGCCUAGCUUCGCCCAGAGCCUGACGUCAUCUGGCACGUUCCGGGACUGGGCCAGCUGGGACCCCACCGUGGACUGCAUCCCGGGCACGGGGCGCGGGUAACGAAUCAACUUGCACUGCAGCUGUGACUGGCGUCCUUAUCUAUGUGACAACACGUAAAGCAGCUCCUUGAUCAGACCUGCAAUUUUUGAAUGAUGAAGCAGAAUUUUAGAUAAUUAUGCCAGUUCAGUUGCAGCACAGGAGCCUGGUGCAAGAGUUGAAAGGAAAGAAGAACAAAGGAAAGAUCUUCACAGUAUCAAAAGUAAAGAAUUGAAAAACAAGAACAAAAACAAAACCAAACACAAAGAGAGCAGUGUUGGGCCAGCAGUACCAUCAGCCCCCAGCCCACAAGCCAGUUCAGCCCCCGGGCUCUGAGUGAGGAGGCUGCGUAGCACCAGGAAGCGGCUCUGCGGAGGUCCUGAGGGGCCCCAGCAUGGCACAGCGUCCAUUCAACUUUUGGUUGGUCCAGGAUGGCGAGGAGCAGGGAGGAUCUUGGGCAGGUGGAUAGGGAUGUGGCGGAAGAAACUGUAGACCUUCAGCUGGCAGUUGGGGUCUCAGGACACCCUGAAGAAGCUUGACCCGGCAGGGGCUGAGAAAACAGGAGAGCAUGACUGCACCGUCUCAGCUUGGUUGCCACCUCUACUAGGAAGGCUGCCCUGGCCUCGCCUACGUUUCAGCCUCGCCUGUCGCCCCACUUCUAGCUGCCUCCCCCACAGCCCCAUACCCUUACUCUUCCAACAGCACUCAACACUGUUUAUGGCUCUCUCUGCACCUAAGCUGUGUUUGAUUUGCCUCUACCCUAGAGCUCAGCCCAGGCAGAGCAGAGAAAGUGCAAAUGAAUAAACAAAGUGAAUAAAGCUGGAGAAAGCCCUGGUUCUUGGGGCCUGACAUGC